GUGGGGAAUCUUCCGCAAUGGACGAAAGUCUGACGGAGCGACGCCGCGUGAGUGAAGAAGGCCUUCGGGUCGUAAAGCUCUGUCAUCAGGGACGAACGGCCGGUGGAGUGGAAAGCCACCGGAUUGACGGUACCUGAGAAGGAAGCCACGGCUAACUACGUGCCAGCAGCCGCGGUAAUACGUAGGUGGCAAGCGUUGUCCGGAAUUAUUGGGCGUAAAGCGCGCGCAGGUGGGAUCUUAAGUCCAUUUUUAAAGUUCGGAGCUCAACUCCGUGAUGGGAUGGAAACUGGGAUUCUUGAGUACCGGAGAGGAAAGCGGAAUUCCCCGUGUAGCGGUGAAAUGCGUAGAUAUGGGGAGGAACACCAGUGGCGAAGGCGGCUUUCUGGACGGUGUCUGACACUGAGGCGCGAAAGCCAAGGGAGCGAACGGGAUUAGAUACCCGGGUAGUCC
rnacentral:rRNA from 1 species